rnacentral:rRNA from 1 species
UACGUAGGGUGCAAGCGUUGUCCGGAAUUAUUGGGCGUAAAGAGCUCGUAGGCGGUCUGUCGCGUCGGCUGUGAAAUCCCGAGGCUCAACCUCGGGUCUGCAGUCGAUACGGGCAAACUAGAGUAUUGCAGGGGAGACUGGAAUUCCUGGUGUAGCGGUGAAAUGCGCAGAUAUCAGGAGGAACACCGGUGGCGAAGGCGGGUCUCUGGGCAAUAACUGACGCUGAGGAGCGAAAGCAUGGGGGAGCGAACAGG